rnacentral:rRNA from 1 species
UUGGAGGGCAAGUCUGGUGCCAGCAGCCGCGGUAAUUCCAGCUCCAAUAGCGUAUAUUAAAGUUGUUGCAGUUAAAAAGCUCGUAGUUGAAUUUUGGGAUCAAAUUGUCGGUCGUGCCUCGGUACGCACUGGUAUUAUUGGUUCCUACCUUCUGAAGAACCGCGAUGUCAUUAAUUUGGUGUCGUGGGGAAUCAGGACUGUUACUUUGAAAAAAUUAGAGUGUUUAAAGCAGGCUUACGCUUGAAUACAUUAGCAUGGAAUAAUGAAAUAGGACGUUUGAUUCUAUUUUGUUGGUUUCUGGGAUUGACGUAAUGAUUAAUAGGGAUAGUUGGGGGCAUUAGUAUUCAAUUGUCAGAGGUGAAAUUCUUGGAUUUAUUGAAGACUAACUACUGCGAAAGCAUUUGCCAAGGAUGUUUUCAUUAAUCAAGAACGAAAGUUAGGGGAUCGAAGACGAUCAGAUACCGUCGUAGUCUCAACCAUAAACUAUGCCGACUAGGGAUCGGAUGAUGUUAAUUUUUUAAUGACUCAUUCGGCGCCUUACGGGAAACCAAAGUGUUUGGGUUC